UACAGAGGGUGCGAGCGUUAAUCGGAAUUACUGGGCGUAAAGCGCGCGUAGGCGGCUUUGCAAGUCGGGUGUGAAAUCCCCAAGCUUAACUUGGGAACUGCAUUCGAGACUGCAUUGCUAGAGUAUGGGAGAGGGAAGUGGAAUUUCCGGUGUAGCGGUGAAAUGCGUAGAUAUCGGAAGGAACCUCAGUGGCCAAACCGACUUCCUGGACCAAUACUGACUCUCAUGUGCGAAAGCGUUGGGAGCAAACAGG
rnacentral:rRNA from 1 species